rnacentral:rRNA from 1 species
UUUUUACGGAGAGUUUGAUCCUGGCUCAGGACGAACGCUGGCGGCGUGCUUAACACAUGCAAGUCGAACGAUGAUGCCCAGCUUGCUGGGUGGAUUAGUGGCGAACGGGUGAGUAACACGUGAGUAACCUGCCCUUGACUCUGGGAUAAGCGCUGGAAACGGCGUCUAAUACCGGAUACGACCUGCCCCGGCAUCGGGUGUGGGUGGAAAGUUUUUCGGUCAAGGAUGGACUCGCGGCCUAUCAGCUUGUUGGUGAGGUAAUGGCUCACCAAGGCGACGACGGGUAGCCGGCCUGAGAGGGUGACCGGCCACACUGGGACUGAGACACGGCCCAGACUCCUACGGGAGGCAGCAGUGGGGAAUAUUGCACAAUGGGCGAAAGCCUGAUGCAGCAACGCCGCGUGGGGGAUGACGGCCUUCGGGUUGUAAACCUCUUUUAGUAGGGAAGAAGGACUUCGGUUUGACGGUACCUGCAGAAAAAGCACCGGCUAACUACGUGCCAGCAGCCGCGGUAAUACGUAGGGUGCAAGCGUUGUCCGGAAUUAUUGGGCGUAAAGAGCUUGUAGGCGGUUUGUCGCGUCUGCUGUGAAAACCCGAGGCUCAACCUCGGGCCUGCAGUGGGUACGGGCAGACUAGAGUGCGGUAGGGGAGAAUGGAAUUCCUGGUGUAGCGGUGGAAUGCGCAGAUAUCAGGAGGAACACCGAUGGCGAAGGCAGUUCUCUGGGCCGUAACUGACGCUGAGGAGCGAAAGCAUGGGGAGCGAACAGGAUUAGAUACCCUGGUAGUCCAUGCCGUAAACGUUGGGCGCUAGAUGUGGGGACCUUUCCACGGUUUCCGUGUCGCAGCUAACGCAUUAAGCGCCCCGCCUGGGGAGUACGGCCGCAAGGCUAAAACUCAAAGGAAUUGACGGGGGCCCGCACAAGCGGCGGAGCAUGCGGAUUAAUUCGAUGCAACGCGAAGAACCUUACCAAGGCUUGACAUAUACCGGAAACUUCCAGAAAUGGUUGCCCCGCAAGGUCGGUAUACAGGUGGUGCAUGGUUGUCGUCAGCUCGUGUCGUGAGAUGUUGGGUUAAGUCCCGCAACGAGCGCAACCCUCGUUCUAUGUUGCCAGCACGUCAUGGUGGGAACUCAUAGGAGACUGCCGGGGUCAACUCGGAGGAAGGUGGGGAUGACGUCAAAUCAUCAUGCCCCUUAUGUCUUGGGCUUCACGCAUGCUACAAUGGCCGGUACAAAGGGCUGCGAUACCGUAAGGUGGAGCGAAUCCCAAAAAGCCGGUCUCAGUUCGGAUUGAGGUCUGCAACUCGACCUCAUGAAGUCGGAGUCGCUAGUAAUCGCAGAUCAGCAACGCUGCGGUGAAUACGUUCCCGGGCCUUGUACACACCGCCCGUCAAGUCAUGAAAGUCGGUAACACCCGAAGCCAGUGGCCUAACCGCAAGGGGGGAGCUGUCGAAGGUGGGAUCGGUGAUUAGGACUAAGUCGUAACAAGGUAGCCGUACCGGAAGGUGCGGCUGGAUCACCUCCUUUCU